UCCAAACCCUGCCUGAGAGGCGGCGGUGGAGAGCGAGCUACUCCCUUUCGCUUCCGGUGCUGAUUUGAAUGCCUCGCCACGGCGACUGGCCGCUCUCUCACAGUAUUGCUUUUUGCCGCUCCCGGGGCACUACAAGACACUCUCGCGGCGCCGUCACACUUGGCAAAGACGCGCGCUAUUCUCUCCACGUGUCAGCGACGCACUUUGUGUUUGUCGGAGGGGUGUGUCCACGGGUGUCUUGACGCCAGUCUCUGAGGGAAGUCGACGGCAGCUGCAUGGACGGCGCAAUCUCAGCUGAUCUCCGGAAGAGUUCCAUCGUCUUACCUGCAAGGGGACAGUCGUCGUUGGACCCGGCCGAGUCCUGGUCCUGGUUGGGGCUGAAGGGGGGGCUGGCCGGGGGGCUGGUGCUGAAGCUGGCAUACCCCAGGGACGAGCUCACCUCGCUGGGCUCGCAGCUGUGAUUGACGGUCCGCUGGACGUCCAGCGAUGAGGACAGGGAGGUGCGCUGUUUGGGCUGGAGGGGAUCAUUGAUGAUUACUCAUUUAUUACACAAAUACAUGUUCACUUGCUCAGUUAUAA